CUGGAUCGUGGCCAGGUGCGGGCGGUCCUGGUUUUUGACCACGGCUUCGAAGGACGUCUGAGGAAGGAGGGUACGGCUCCACUGGCCCUGA
rnacentral:tRNA from 1 species